GUAAAUCAGGCUAAUUGCUCUCAGCCUCUAAUUAUUAUUAAAUUCGUCAUAAAUAUUUACAAUGACACUGAUAUACAUAACAUGUUACAAGACAACGUACGUGGCUGGGAUGAGGAACAGGACUUUCGUCCCAAUUAAUACCCGCCGCUUAUAACUAAGUACUUUCUCGGGGUACGAACAAACGAAGGCUUGACACUGGCCUGAUCGUAAAAUUGAACCCUAAUUCUAACUGAAAAAUAUAUCGGUUCUUCAUACACCGAGAAAGUCCUAGGAAGUUUGUAUGUUAUUGAAGUUAAUUAUAAUUAAGCGUGCUGUAAACGAAGAUAAAUUAUAAAAUGUCUUUAAGACUUUCGCCCGUAUUCUAAAAGCUCACUCACACUCACUGAGUGGACGUUCAAUCUGAGCUUUUCUUGAGUGUCAAUGCUGUUUUUGAAUAGCUGGAGGGUGAGUAGUCACAUAGUAAGGUAUGAUACUAACCUUUAGCUAUUCAAAAACAGCACUGACACUCGAGAGAAGCUCAGAUUGAACCUCCACUCAUUGAGUGUGAGUGAGCUUUUAGAAUACGGGCAUUUAUCUCGGUGGGCAGACUGAGUGCGAGUCUCAAUCAUUGGUCUCAAUGCUCAACAUUGAAACAGGACUCUGGGGCAUAAAUCCUGGGGGACGCAUUCAACUUCGUUCCCCAGCUUUCCCCUGGGUCGCAUCCCCCACUUUUUGAACAGUCGUGAUAUAACGUCUGCUGGCCGGCUACGUCCCACUUUUUGACAUAGAUUAUCGCCUUUGACGUUAAAUUCCACGUUUAAUGGCAGACCAUGAUCAAUGUUAUCUGCCAAAGGCUGAGACGGCUUACACUGGCCAAGGUCUGAAUAAUUCUGGAUAUCCAACCUCAAUAUCCAAUAGUUUUAUGAUUCAUUCUAUUGAUUAUUUUCUCAGUUGCAUCACUUGCAAAAGAUGCAAAACGAGUACUACCCAUUGUGAAUAAUUCAGAACAAAACAAAAAACCCUGCUCAACCCCGUAGGCUAAAAGCUGACGAGAAAACGAGAACAGAGUACAAUGAAUAAUAAAGCUUUUGAUCCGCAAGCCCGGAUCUUCAUCAGUGCAAAUAAUAAAUCAAAACAUUUAUCGUUAUGAAAAACUACAAGGAGUAAACAUCAUACUUUUUGAUACAGUAAAAACCUGCAGAACCCGUGGGUCAAGAACCACCAAACUGAAAUUUAAGGGGGCGGUGGGUGAAACUCCCAACAUUGCACUUUUCGGCUUGAGACCGCAUCCAAACACAAUACAUUUAUUCUCAAGACGCCUCCGCAUUCCAUAUCGAAUAUUUUAACCCCACAACACCAUUUUAUUAUUUUCUUAAUAUACACAGGUUCUUUUUUGCUGAUUUCAAAACAUAUAAACUAAAUUAGAACAAAUGCGUAAGAUACAUAAACGUCACAUGGACCUAUUCCCUAAUGAACAAAAUUUUGAUCUAGACAAGUCUAGACAAAAAUUUCAUCACAGCUUGAAAGAGCAUCACAAAAGUAGUAAUAUUCCGAAGUUUUGUUGCAAAAUGCAGAUAAUAUAGCCCUGCGAUGUUUGCCGUUUUUCAGUCAUUUUGUAUUACGCGCGGGAAAUUGAUACCAUUUUUCAGAAAGCGGUAUCAAUUUCCCGUUUGUAAUACCAAACGACUGAAAAACGGCAAACUUCGCAGGGCUAUAUUAUCCGCAUUUUACAACAUUUCGCAGCGAAACUUCGGAAUAUUACUAAUUUUGUGAUGCUCUUUCAAGCUGUAAUGACAUCUUUGUCUAGACUUGUCUAGAUCAAAAUGUUGUUCAUUAGGGAAUAGGUCCAUUGGGAGUUUGGGUAAUGGUCGAGGGUAAUAGGUCGAGGGUUAUAGGUCGAGGGUCGAGGGUCAUAGGUCGAGGUUCGAAAGUCGAGGGUCAAAAGUCGAGGGUCAGAAGUCGAGGGUCGAAAGUCGAAAUUCAAGGGUCGAAAAUGGGAAAUAUUAUUUUUUUAUUAAACAUUUCUAACUUUAUUACUGUUAGUACAGAACAUGCCUUAGGGCAUAAUUAGGUUCCUUUUUGUUUUUCGAGAAAGUGUAAAAUUACUAAAACUAUUCGAGAACAUACGGUGCCGGUGGGGUGAUUCGAAAAUAUAUUGUAUUUAUUGUACUAUCAGAACGAAUUGGGUCCCAGCGCAGCAAAUAGUAAAAAUCUCUCACAAUGGUCGUGAGAUAAUUCUGAACCGAACUAAAAUCACCCUGUUAUAAAGAUUCGUGCUUCGUGCAUGUUAUUUUUGACAGAAUAACUAAAGAAAGUUUCCAUUUUAUUACACUACAACGUUCUCGCAACUAUAUUAUGAAUAUGAAACUGUCAAUCGAACAUGUGCACUUCCGGUGCAGACAUGACGAUGUUAUAAAAUAUAUAAAUAUCAACUGUUUCUCGCACACCCUAACGCUUUAAACCUCCAAAACCAUACGCGGUUUGAAGAGUAUCGUUAAGUUGAAGUUCUGAGAAUUUCAGAACUCUUUCGCCUCCAAGUCCAAGAGAUAACAUAUUAUCUAUACUGCCUCGUCCCCAGGCGCUAAUAAAAAUAAUUUCAUGCGAGUUACUAUAUGAAAGGUUUACAUGAAGUAGUGCGUCACAUUCUAGGCGCGCAAAGGGGAGUGGGAUAUGAGCGUUCUGGUUAGCGCCUGGCCGAUCUUGUAUAAAUAGCUGUCGAACAUACAAGUAAACAACAGAUCUAAAUAUAAAUCCCUUCAUGUAUAUCACCAGAAAGAAAUAAAGCUAUCCUUAUCUGAAUUAUUCAAAAUAUUGUCGAUCGUUUGCAUCGUGAAAAUCAAACAUACUGCAUGUAAAUAAGCUCGUAACUGAAAUCCUGAGACGAAUCUUGCAAAUGCAAUACAAAAUAAAGUUUCAUCGCUCCCUUGUUUAAAAAACGUCUUGUAGCUGUAUAUUUUUAAAAUAAAUUGCCCGUUGUGAUAAAAAUUCAUUGUCAUUUUUCCAUACCUUGUAAAUUUAUUAUAUAAACUGGCUUCUACAGCCCCGUAGAACACUAGAACUCUUCAAGUGUUGACAUCUCGGAAUCAUUUAAAGCGUUAAAAGAUAUCAAAUAUCAUAUGACUGUAAUCACAUGUUUAAUUGAACAAUUUGAAAUGUUGUUUCCUCAAAAAAAAUGGCGAAAAAAGCCCUAAAACUGUCGAAAAACCACGAUUUGCAAGAAACAGACGAAUUUUGCAAGAAACGGCACAAGAUCUCCCAGGCGCUCCUCAAUUUUGAUGCCUCAAGCCCAUAACCCCCUGCGCUUGUUCAUCGCGAUGCACUACUUCAUGUAAAUCUUUCAUAUAGUGACUCGCAUGAAAUUUUUAAUUAGCGCCUGGGGACGAGGCAGUUAUCUAUAGGCUAUAGUCAGUUUCUCACAUUGAACUAAAAAUAACUGGAACGCUACGUUCAGUAAACUGCGCGUGCAAAUUUUGAAGCCAAAAUUUGACUCCCAUGAAGCUAAAUGAAGCCAGUUUUGACUCCCAGACACGCACUUCCACGCGUGUUUCUACUGCGCGAUUUACUCGCGAGACAAUGUAGGGGCGUUCGAAGCAUGCCGUUUUGAACGUUUUCAUGGCAAGACGCGAAUAGAAAGGGAAACGGGCCUUUUCAGUUUAAAACGGGCGUUUUAAAGCCUGUGUACGACCUUGUAGAAUUUAGCUUCAAACUUCCGUUUGAACGUAGCGUUCCAGUUCUUUUUAGUUCAAUUGGUUUCUCAUGAGAGUGAAACGCCAUUUUCGUAUAAUCGUCCGUGUUCGUAUAUAUUUUUGUCCAAUGUAAAAUAAAAGAUGUAUGCUUUCAAACAUCAAACCUCGCAUCAGACUUUUAGUUCCACAAACGAAACUUUCAGUUAUACAGUACAUAGCCAUACGGCAUAGCCAUAGGCGAAAUUUUUCAGUUUUGACAGCAAAACUAAUUGCUUUGCCGCGUUUAAUGGU